GAGGGAUGUCUUUUUUUUUGUCGUCACGAUUUAUUAUUAAUUGCAAAUUAUGAGAACUGUUACAUAGACGAUUCUACAACUGACAAUUCCUUCCGACCCUUACUAGAUUCACGACAGACUACACUUCCUUCUUCGUAAUCUUGAUGAAUACUUUCAAUGAUCCACGACCUGGCGACACUUCCUUCUCUGCGUAGAAUCCUGGCGAACGGCUAUAAUUGUACAUCGCUGGAGAUCUCUUGCACACUUGCCUCCAUUAAUCUGCAAAUUUGUUAAUAAAUCGCAAUAUCUGGGACUCGAACCCCAGACUUUUUGGUGUAGAAGCAUUAAUCAACCCUUGGUCAACCAAUGGG
rnacentral:lncRNA from 1 species